rnacentral:rRNA from 1 species
ACGUAGGGUGCGAGCGUUAAUCGGAAUUACUGGGCUUAAAGAGUCCGUAGGCGGCGCAGAAAGUAGGGUGUGAAAUCCCUCGGCUUAACCGAGGAAUUGCGCUCUAAACUACUGUGCUUGAGGAACCUAGAGGUGAGCGGAACUGAUGGUGGAGCGGUGAAAUGCGUUGAUAUCAUCAGGAACACCGGAGGCGAAGGCGGCUCACUGGGGGUUAUCUGACGCUGAGGGACGAAAGCCAGGGGAGCGAACGGGA